AGCUGGGGCGGGGCGGCGGCGGCCAGCGAAGGAGCGCGCGGCGGCCCGGCCCCGCCCCUGGUCCUCCCGCCAGCCCCGGUGACCUUCACGGGUUCGGGCGGCCGGCGCAGGCUCGGGCGGCGGCGCGAUGUUCGUGCAGGAGGAGAAGAUCUUCGCUGGCAAGGUGCUUCGGCUGCACAUCUGCGCCGCCGACGGCAGCGAGUGGCUCGAGGAGGCGACCGAGGACACGUCGGUGGAGAAGCUCAAGGAGAGUUGCCUCAAGCACGGUGCUCAUGGGAGCUUAGAAGAUCCUAAGAAUGUGACCCACCAUAAGUUAAUACAUGCUGCUUCAGAGAGGGUGCUGAGUGACACCAAAACUAUCUUGGAAGAAAACAUCCAGGACCAAGAUGUCUUGUUAUUGAUAAAAAAGCGUGCUCCUUCUCCACUUCCUAAGAUGGCUGAUGUCUCAGCAGAAGAAAAGAAGAAACAAGAGCAAAAAGCUCCAGACAAAGAUGCUAUCCUCCGGGCGACAGCCAACCUGCCUGCCUGUAGCACAGACCGGACUGCAGUCCAGACCACCAUGAGAGAUUUCCAGACUGAACUCCGGAAGAUCCUGGUGUCCCUCAUUGAGGUGGCACAGAAGCUGUUAGCACUGAAUCCUGAUGCAGUUGAAUUGUUUAAGAAGGCAAAUGCUAUGCUGGAUGAAGAUGAGGAUGAGCGAGUGGAUGAGACUGCCUUGCGGCAGCUUACAGAAAUGGGCUUUCCUGAGAGCAGAGCCUCAAAGGCCCUUCGACUGAACCACAUGUCAGUGCCUCAGGCCAUGGAGUGGUUAAUCGAACACUCGGAAGAUCCAGCUAUUGACACUCCUCUUCCAGGCCAUGCCCCGCAAGCAGGGGCAGGUGCUGCAGCUACCACCUCCACCUCCCAUGAAGCUGCUGUGGGAGCAGCUGUGGGAACUAGUGCUGGAGAUGAGGAGGCCCGGGAUGAGCUCACAGAAAUCUUCAAGAAGAUCCGCAGGAAAAGGGAAUUCCGAGCCGAUGCGCGGGCUGUCAUUUCGCUGAUGGAGAUGGGCUUUGAUGAGAAGGAAGUGAUUGACGCACUCCGAGUGAACAACAACCAGCAGAAUGCUGCUUGUGAAUGGCUGCUAGGGGACCGGAAACCAUCCCCUGAGGAAUUGGACCAGGGCAUCGAUCCCAGUAGCCCUCUGUUUCAGGCCAUCCUGGACAACCCAGUGGUGCAACUGGGUUUGACAAACCCUAAGACAUUGCUAGACAGGGUCUAGCUAUGCAGCCUCCUGAAUCAAGGUGGGCGUUUCCUCAGAGUCUUAUUCCUCAUUUGAAGACAUGCUGGAGAACCCACUUAACAGUACACAGUGGAUGAACGACCCAGAGACGGGCCCUGUCAUGCUGCAGAUCUCUAGAAUCUUCCAGACACUGAAUCGUACGUAGGUGGUGCCUACUGUGCUCCUUGGCUGUGCAACCUCAGCAGCCUCCGAGGCAGUGGGCACAGGGCCCAGCCGGGAUCUUGCCUGGAUCACAGCUGCGGUAACUCUCCUUCCCUGACCUUACUGCUUAUCACCUUCUGCCACGUGGCUUGAAAGCUGCAGUCCUAGCUUCUGCCAGGUGUUUACAGGAAGUGGCUCUUGCACUGGGAAGGUGAACGAUUGCUGCCCCAUCCCCUCCAGAUGCUCUGCUGGGCUCCUGAAGUGCUACUUGAAUUGACCCUUAGGUGUUUGCUUGUGGAGCCCACUGUAUUUUAAAGACGGCAUGUUCUGAUCCAAAGUGUUAUGUCAAGUGUGCUAAUUUAACCAGAGUGACUCACAGAUAACUUUAAUAAAUAAACCCUUUUCCUA